CAAAUAAUGACAUGAUUUUUGUAAAUGCUCUUCAUGAGAUAAAUACAGAAAUUGAAAGAAUUAUCGAAAAUACAGAAAUAGAUGGACAAUCGAUAAAUGUACAUAUUAAUGCAAGUACAGGUUUUAAUCAAAUUUGCACAGAAUCGCAAACCACAGAGUAUGAAAGAAAUCAAUGGCUUUAUUAUUGGACAGUGUAAGAUGACCAACUAUAUUGACGGUGAAUACUUCGAAUACGUUACAAACCGAUAGAACAUCAAAUUAUGACAUUUUUGACACAGACGCACGUCAUGACACAAACUAUUGUUUAACUAAUGCAGAAAUUGAACAGAAUAAGUGAAGGAAUUAUAGCAGAUAAAGGAUAUAACGAUUGAUAGAAUUUAAUGCAAAUGCAAGUCAUCAAACUGGCGAAGAAUUGCAAAGCUCAGAGUAUGAAGGAAAUCAAUGAUUCCAAUUUAUAUACUUUGUAUUACUUCUACACUUUACAUGCAAACGUAGAUUGCUUAAUGAAACAAUUCAAGACGUACAAAUGGAAAUGACAACUUCAGAACAGACUUUGCAAGUUAAUAAGGCAUUUAACAAUAAUUAUCCAAGUUUAGUUCCGAACGCCUUCAUAUCAUAAUAAUAAUGAGUAUUAAACUCUGAUGAAAUUGGUGGAAGUACUUUGGAUAUAUCUCUACAACAGUCAACAAAUGAUGAAAGAUAUAAAUUUUUUAUUAGUCUAAUGAGAAGUAAAACUAAUGAGAAGGCUAUAUUACGUAGACUUAAUGAUAUAUAAAUUGUGACAAGAUUUGUGCAAAACAAUUCAAAGCCUUUAUAAAUAAUUCCCAUAAUUGAUUGACUGUAUUAAUGUUGAAACAAUUUUUAAUAAAAUGAACUUAUUUGUAUUA